rnacentral:tRNA from 1 species
AUCUUUCUAGUAUCAAGCAGUACAAGUGACUUCCAAUCACACAGUCUUGGUUUAAGUCCAAGGGAAGAUA